AUCUACCUGACGAGUCUCAUUUGGACGAAAUGCGCAUCCUGGAU
rnacentral:hammerhead_ribozyme from 1 species